rnacentral:tRNA from 1 species
GUGACCGUUUGGUAUCGGGUCCUUUGGACUGGCAGUCAAGGGAUCAGGGGUUCGAAUCCCCUCAGCUCCA